rnacentral:rRNA from 1 species
UACGUAGGGCGCAAGCGUUAUCCGGAUUCACUGGGUUUAAAGGGUGCGUAGGUGGGCAGGUAAGUCAGCGGUGAAAUCCCCGAGCUUAACUUGGGAACUGCCAUUGAUACUAUCUGUCUUGAAUACCUUGGAGGUGAGCGGAAUAUGUCACGUAGCGGUGAAAUGCUUAGAUAUGACAUAGAACACCAAUUGCGAAGGCAGCUCACUACACGGUCAUUGACACUGAGGCACGAAAGCGUGGGGAUCAAACAGG